UUUCUUGCGUAAGGGCAGUAUCAAAAGCAAUGAGGGCAACCGAGCUGUGAUUAUUGCUAGAUGAAAACUUAAACCAAACAAUUUAUAAUAAAAGUAUUUGCAGAUUGAACAAAAU
rnacentral:snRNA from 1 species